UUAGCUCAGUAACACGUGGAUAACCUGCCCUUGGGACCGGCAUAACCCCGGGAAACUGGGGAUAAUUCCGGAUAACGCAUAUGUGCUGGAAUGCUUUAUGCGUAAAAUGGAUUCGUCCGCCCAAGGAUGGGUCUGCGGCCUAUCAGGUAGUAGUGGGUGUAAUGUACCUACUAGCCGACAACGGGUACGGGUUGUGAGAGCAAGAGCCCGGAGAUGGAUUCUGAGACAUGAAUCCAGGCCCUACGGGGCGCAGCAGGCGCGAAAACUUUACAAUGCGGGAAACCGUGAUAAGGGGACACCGAGUGUCAGCAUCAUAUGCUGGCUGUCCAGGUGUGUAAAAUACACCUGUUAGCAAGGGCCGGGCAAGACCGGUGCCAGCCGCCGCGGUAACACCGGCGGCCCGAGUGGUGAUCGUGAUUAUUGGGUCUAAAGGGUCCGUAGCCGGUUUGGUCAGUCCUCCGGGAAAUCUGAUAGCUCAACUAUUAGGCUAUCGGGGGAUACUGCCAGACUUGGAACCGGGAGAGGUAAGAGGUACUACAGGGGUAGGAGUGAAAUCUUGUAAUCCCUGUGAGACCACCUGUGGCGAAGGCGUCUUACCAGAACGGGUUCGACGGUGAGGGACGAAAGCUGGGGGCACGAACCGGAUUAGAUACCCGGGUAGUCCCAGCCGUAAACGAUGCUCGCUAGGUGUCAGGCAUGGCGCGACCGUGUCUGGUGCCGCAGGGAAGCCGUGAAGCGAGCCACCUGGGAAGUACGGCCGCAAGGCUGAAACUUAAAGGAAUUGGCGGGGGAGCAC
rnacentral:rRNA from 1 species